rnacentral:rRNA from 1 species
UACGGAGGGUGCUAGCGUUGUUCGGAAUCACUGGGCGUAAAGCGCGUGUAGGCGGCCUGUUAAGUCUGAUGUGAAAGCCCGGGGCUCACCCCCGGAAGUGCAUUGGAAACUGCCAGGCUCGAGUCCCGGAGAGGAGGGUGGAAUUCCUGGUGUAGCGGUGAAAUGCGUAGAUAUCAGGAGGAACACCUAUAGCGAAGGCAGCUUGCUGGGACGGUACUGACGCUAAGGCGCGAAAGCGUGGGGAGCGAACAGG